UAUUUGACACUAUAAAAGGGAUUACCUUCCAAGACAUUCAAGUUCAUAAGUUUAGAAAUUCAAAAUUUUAAAUCUGCUGAGAAAAUUUUUAAGACUAAUAACUUUCUCCAAAAUCUCAAGGAAGGAAUCUCUAAAGAAGUAAAAAAAAUUGAAAGAAAAAAAAAAACUUAAAAAAUGCCACAUCAAUUCUGAAGAAAAAUACUUUUUAAUCUUGUUCAAUCGGCCAAAAAGAGAGAGCUAAAUUCGUUCUUUAAGUAGAAUCUUUCAACCAAGAUCAAGUUUU
rnacentral:lncRNA from 1 species